GAGUUUGAUUAUGGCUCAGAUUGAACGCUGGCGGCAGGCUUAACACAUGCAAGUCGAACGAUGAUUACUAGCUUGCUAGUAUGAUUAGUGGCGAACGGGUGAGUAAUGCUUAGGAAUCUGCCUAUUAGUGGGGGACAACAUUCCGAAAGGAAUGCUAAUACCGCAUACGUCCUAUGGGAGAAAGCAGGGGAUCUUUUGACCUUGCGCUAAUAGAUGAGCCUAAGUCGGAUUAGCUAGUUGGUGGGGUAAAGGCCUACCAAGGCGACGAUCUGUAGCUGGUCUGAGAGGAUGAUCAGCCACACUGGGACUGAGACACGGCCCAGACUCCUACGGGAGGCAGCAGUGGGGAAUAUUGGACAAUGGGCGAAAGCCUGAUCCAGCCAUGCCGCGUGUGUGAAGAAGGCCUUUUGGUUGUAAAGCACUUUAAGUGGGGAGGAAAAGCUAAUAAUUAAUACCUAUUAGCCC
rnacentral:rRNA from 1 species